AUCUUUGCUUAUUUUUUAUAGCCCUUUAAAAAUGGAAAAUACAUUCUUAGCUUGCGGGCUGUACAAAAAUAAGGCACAGGCUGAACUUGGCCAGUAGACUUUAGUUUGUGAACCCCUGGACCAUUGCUUUUUCUUGCUUCUGGGAGAUGUCCUAGCAGGGUGUUUGCACAAGCUCCCAAGGUCCUUGACUGGACCCGUGCUAAAUCCCAUGUGCUGUCACAGUGCCCUAAACAAGCUUCCUUCUUUAGCUUUGUCUUCUGCUUCUCUUGAGCCAGUGUCCUCAGGAACCGGUCUGGUAUAUAUUCUCUUGGCUCUUGCUAUGACAUGUUUUCUAGGUCCUGCGGCUCCUUUUUGGCAUGUUUUCUUUUCUUCUUUAUCAGGCUCAGCAUGUCCUGGGCAAGUUAACCUUGGUUAUUGUCCCUGUUGCCAGGAGUGGGGAAGGGGAGGGAGAUCUCAAGGGGCUUGCCCGUUGUCCUGCAGGAGAGAGGUCUCUUUAAUAUGUGCAAAUAAGAGGGAAAGAGUGAGACCUUAACAGGGAGGGGUAGACUGCUUCCGCAAGCUUGGGGGGCUCCAGGACGUGGAGAUGAGUUUCAGGUGCAUAAACCCAGGCAUCCUCAUUCCUGUGAUAGGGAGUGUUCUUUCCUGGCUCUGGCUCUGAACUCCAAUAGCCUUCCAGUAUGAAGAGAGAGCUUCAUCUUCUUUGGACGUCUGCUUCCCUUGUGGGAGGAGGUGACAUUCUUGCUGUUAAUAACAGGAAACCCAACUAUUGCGAGAAGAGGGAUAUUGGAGAUGAAAUUUUGAUGAUAAAAUUGCAUGGAGAGAAGGGCUGCUGAUGGAUGAAGGUAUCUGUAACUCACAACAAUUUCAAAGAUUGUAACUUUGCAAACAAAAAAGAAACAUUUAUCCUUUUCUCCCUACCUGAUCCUUCCAGACCUCAGAAACUCAUCUUGAAUAUUCUUGUUCUCAUUGCAAUAUAGUUGCUUGCAUAAGAUCGCCCUGCAGGCUGAAGCUGGACAACAUAUUGUAACUUCAAAGGAUUUAUCACCACAACAAUGUGGACCACUCAGAAAAUUCACUGGAACACCUGCAUCUUCCAUGCUCCAUUCCAAGAAAUAGCCAUGGCUGUGACAUGGCCACUACCACCCUCCCUGAAGAUGCUUCAAAACUGAACAUCUGGAAAUCUUCCUGACUGGCUGCCCUCUGGAUUCAGAAACUGCUCCAACCAUUAAUCUUUGUUUUUCUCUCCCUUUGCAUAUCUCUUUCCUUGCAACUUCUAAUCUGAAUUUCUCUCCAGAGCAAUCAACCUAGUCUCCUUUUUUUCUUUUUUCUUUUUUUUAAAAAUAUGUGCGGAAGUUUCAACUGGGGGAAAUCUGGAGAGACCCCCAGAGUUGAUUUUAAAGUGAAAACAUUUGAGCUAAAGAAGAUAGAGAAAGAAAUCUUAUCUCAACUCCCCUUAUCUGGCUCAAGCAUAACUUUCAAGCUCUACAGCUGCUAUUAACCUCCUCCCCACCUCCACCCGACUUUAGGCUUCUCCUAUGAAUUCUACUGCCUUGGAGGCAGACUGUCCAUUGCCAUUAGCAUCAAAAAGUCCCACAGAAACUUCCUUGCCUUCCCAGUGAAGUCCUAACUACCACCUCCAUCCCUUUGUUUAGUUUGGUAUAUAAAACUUUUUUAUCCUGUCUAUUGAGUGAGUUAUCUAUCACUGAGUAAUUCUGUGUGAGGGCAUAAGUAAACCUCUUCUCUUCUUUUGUUAACCUAUCUAUUGUCAGUUAAUUUGCAAGUCACCAGCCACUGGACUCAAGUUAGAAGAGGAAGAGGUUGCCUGCCUAUGCAAUAAUUUCCCCCCUGCUGACUGCAAUGCAUUGCUCCCUGAUGAAAGCAGCAUUCACUGCCAUGACUACAGGAUUAUUUACUCCUGUACAUAUGUGUGCAUAUAGGCAUGUGUGUAUUUACAGAGUUAGCAGCUCAGCAGGUUGUGACUAAACAUCCUUAGGAAUUUCCUUGGUGAGUCAAAGCUUAUUAAAGUAGAAACACUUCCCAGAAGAUCAGAAAUCUAUCUUCAAACCAAGCUCAUUCCCCUGCUUGUUGCAUCAUCAAGCCAGGCAGCUUAAAAUAAAUCAUCUAUUAAAAGUGAACCAAUUACCAAACUCACCUUCCAACACUUCCAACACCAGUUUUGGGAAAUGGACUGGAAGGACUCCUUCGAUGGUAACUUGACCUUGCUUUCGCUGAUGACAUCGUCUUGGAAUGUUGGUAAACUUCCUUUGGCAUAUGCUUCAGUGAGGAGAUAGUUGUCUAAAUUAAUGACAUGCCUUAAUGAGAGACAGUUGGGAGCUUUGGUAUCUGGUGAACGGUGUUCAAUUCCCAACUCAACCAUUUUGUAGCUUUGUAAACUUGAACAACCUUUUACAUGCUUGAGACUGCCUCAGUUUGCUUAUUUGUAAGGUGUAGGGAAGAACUCUUAACCUGAAAGAUUUGGGGAAAAGAUAAAAUGAGAUAGUUGUAUAUACAAGUGCUUAAUUUUCUUCCUAGCUUCUUUAAAGUGCUCUCAAGAUCACUUGGAACAGGAUUAGCACUCUGCAGCAACAAUGACCUAGCUCUUUCCUACAUUACAGCUUAUGCCCUAAUCCAUGUACUUAACUUUCUUCACUUAUUGUCCUGCUUCUUUUAUUGCUGGAAAAACACCAUAUAUGCUUUCUGUGGACAGAAAACUAUUCAGUUUGUCCUAUGAAUAUCAAGUCAAAAAUUAUAAAAAGCAGAAUAGUUUCUUUUUGGUUAUUUUCUAAAUGAUAAUAAUAAUAACAGCAACAGCAAUAGUAAAGCUUUCUGUUUAAUUUUGUGAAGAUUUUCUAUAUUUCCUUUCAGUUUAAAUCUGGUAGACAUAAGAUGAUAUGGAGUCUGGGAACCCUUCUUUGUCCUUUUCUUGUGUGUGUAAAUCUCAUCAUAGCUGGCUCUACGCGCCAUGACCUGAGCCACCCUCAGUCUGGACUGACCGCAUUGGGCAAUAAGCCGUCCAAGAUCUUUCUGGUCAGGGCUUGGCAGCAGGCAUGAAGGAAGAUGCCAACAUUGUUGCCAAGUGGAUGGCUCAUAUUUUCCAUCUUUGUCUUUGUGAAUGGCAGUCAUGUGCUCCUCGUGGUGCCCAAUUGUGCAACAGACGUCGAGGCGCUGAGCCAGAACAAGGGCCUAGGAUGAGGUUAGGCCCUCCUGAUGGGCAUGGGCCUGGGGUGGGCUCACAGCCGUGUGUUCAGCUUGGAUAAUCAGCUAUGGCAGAUUAGAUAAAAUCAGAAACGGAGGCUGAGAGUGUCCCUAGAAAUGGCAAGAAUGGGGGUUAGAGUGAGGAACUUGGGCUGGUCAGCAAGUUGAUCGUACAGGUGUGACAUGGUCCUUAGAUCAGGCUCAAAUAAGGAAAUUUCAGGAGUUGGAUAAGGCCAAGACUCAGAUUGAAGGCAAUAACCAAGAUCAUUCCAGAUACUUCCUCAGGGGUGUGUGGUGCUGAUGAGAGCUUCCAUUUACCUAAGUGUGGCUUAGAAUUUCUCUUGGCAGCUCCACUAUGGAGUAAUCUACCUAUUUUGUCAGAGACCCAGGUCAUGGUGGACACUGAAAAGAGGAUUCUGAUUCCAUUAGAACAAAAGUUGAAUAUUCUUUGGGCUAGGACCACUGAAUCUUUCUAGGUCAGUAGUCCUGUCUUCUGAGCCGAAAUCUGAGGCAAAGUCUAGGAUUUUCUCUGCCCACUCACAAGGCAGGGAGAAAGGUCCCAACCCUGGGAAAUCUAACCAGACUCUUGAUGAGAAAAAUCAGCGCUUUAGGAAAAGUGUUUUUCAGUUUUCUUCCUGUAUCCAUGUGAGGGUGGUAUCUAUGGUGAUUUUAUAGAAUAAUCCCUGGGCUAGAUCAACUGUCAAGGAAAUACAUCUACUGCACUGAACACUUACCCUGUCUAUAAGCCUUUCUAUCUACAACAUCCCAUAGAGGAUAAAAAUUUUUGUUACCGAUAAGUAGAUAUCACCAUCACAGGUUGUCAACAGUAGUACAAAUCCUUUAAGGUCCCUUCAUUAACUUUCAGUCCCAGACCUGUGCUUUUUUCUUCACCUUUGGUUGGUCUCUUAACCUGGCUAAGAAAAGCCCUAGGGAUCUGAGAGAACAUGAAUGAUGAGGAGUCAUCCCAUGAGAUCUUCAGCCCUCUGUUGACAUGGUCCAUAUCUCUAAGGGCUUCCUACACCUUCCACAACUCCCACAACUCUCCUUCUAAGAAUCCUGUAAGGAAAAGAUCCCUGGUCUAGGCAGCAGAUGAGAUUCUUCCUGGCUGUAGAGAUGUGGGGUCAGGAAACUUCGAAGUCCUCUUUGUAGCGAUGUUCACACACUGAGUCAAAAUGAGGAUCAUCCGAGUGCAGGAAUCAGGGCGCAGAUGUCCUGGAGGAAUGCCAUAUCUGGUCAGGAGUCCCAUCAGUGACCUGACGCUCUUUGGCCCAGCCUCAUCCGUCCAGGAGGAGUGGCAGCCUUCCCGAAUGACCACACCCUAGUUCCCUAAGGCUGCCAGGCCACCUGGGUUUUCAUGAGAAAACAUAUAGAACACACUGUAUGUGCUAAGUACAUAAAUUAAAAGUCUACAUGUGGUAUUUUCUUUACUGGCAGAUGAAGUCCUGGUCCUAGUUCUGGGGGGCUGGGGGAGGGGUGCGAAUUGGCUUUAUAGUACAUUUCAAAACAGAACAAAAAUAACUAAGACUAAACUAAAUAAACAAAAACCUUGGCUCCUUCAAGUUUUGCAUAUAAAUAAGAGACCUUGAAAUUUUCAGCAGAAAUGUCUUUGUACACAUCAAAGCAACAUAAGCGCUUGAAGCUUGUAAUGAAUACUGGAACACCGUCAGAAUCCAAGGCAACAUGCAAUGUAGGUUGAAGGGGAAGAUUCACAUACCUCUGGCCCCUGUGGAAAUGAUCUCAUCGAUCUGGAUCAUGUCCCACCUACAAAGCACUUCUUAGAUUGGAUUAACCAGGUGAUUGCUUCAUCCCUUCAACCUGCUUUCCAUGUACAAAAAUAUCUUAACACUAAGCAUGUUACCCUUCUGUAGAACCGAACUUGAGUUCUUAGCAGCAUUUUGCAAAUUUAUAGUUUGACUUGUAUUUCCCAGAAUCUUUUCUUUGUAACAGUGCUUUUAGAAAGAUUCUUUCAGUGUUGAUUUGUGUGGCUGAGCCUCCCUGGAAUAAUCUGGCCUCCAGCAACUCCUCACUCCACCCCCAGUAGGAGCUUGAAUAAUGACUGAGUGACCAAGUGUCCCAUUCAGUUAUUAUUCAACUAUAUUAAAUUGCUAAAGUUGGUAAUUGGAGCAUAUCUUAUUACAAAGGCAAAAGUUCAACAUUUUUCCCCAGGCACAAUAGGCUUGCACAUUUAAAAACUUCUGGUCUGGUAAGGAAUAAGAUGUCAGGGCAUGGAGCAUGCAACAAAUUAAACAGGGAAAGAUAUAUUAACCAAACUUGAGCAAAAUUCUAGGCAUUACCUUGAAGGUACUUACCAAUCCCAAACCUUCUAUAAAGGGGUGCAAAGAUAAAGUAGGUAAGGAUCUUAAAAAUACAUCAGCAUUCCCAAGCUCUAUUAGGCUUACACAGUUUAAAAACUACCAUUUAAAAUACUAUACUAGGGACUGAUAUCUAGAUGGUAAAAACUUAUUGUUUAUAUUAUAUACACUCUUUGUCUACUUGGAUGAGUUGGUGCCCAGAGAGUUCUGAUGACUAAAUAUUUUGAAAUCUUGCCAGAUUAUGUGAAAUCCUGUUUGCAUCCAUAGCUAUAGACUGUUUACUGGAAGUAUUAUGUGGAGUAUGGCUGAAGGGCCUGGUUUUCUCUAACACAGCAAGAGAAGGAGCAAUUUUAGCAAAAAAAUAAGAAAUUCAGGUACCUGCUUGGAUGUGGUCACCCCAAGUUACUGCCUCAAAGAACAGGAAAUGAGUGUUGAGGGAGCUACAGAGACAGCCUAUAGGGCAGGACUCUCCAAGGCUGCCUCAUCGGAAGACUCAUUUGGGGCACUUAUUUGAGAAUCUAGAUUCUUAAAUGCUUUCCCUGGAGGAGGUGAUUACUAUGUUUUGGGGUGGGCUUAGGGAUCAAUAUUUUUGAGAAGUGUAGCAACGAUCCUUACAGUAAAGCAAAUGAGAGAAACACCCUUCCAUCUUUGAUUGUCAUUCAUGAUACUAUCAUUUAUUCAUUUAUUCAGUUCUUUAACACUCGCUCUAGUAUUUCUCAAAGUGAUCCUAAAUCCUCUACAUCAAGAUAAGCUGGAGUGUUUGACUAAAAUACAGAUCUUGGGGUGCAUCCCAGACUUCUCCUAUAAGAAUCUCCAGAGGUAGGACCUGGAAAUCUGUAUCUUAAAUGGGCAUUCUAAGUGAUUCUUACGUAGUAUUAAGUUUGAGAAUAUUGCUGUGUGCCCGGCACAUAGCAUGUCUCUUCUCCUUGCCUGUUCCCAGUCCAUAGCUAAUGAGCACUUAUUUACAAACUUACUCAGACAGGGGUCAGUGAAUGCUGUAUGUGGGCAUGAUGUGAAGGGGGAGGGGAGAGACGCAGUUCUUCCUGCUUUAAACCGGAAGAUUAUAAGGCUUGUAGGAGCAAGAAGAGAAGCUACCCUACAGGUGCAGUGGCCAAGUUUUGGUGAGAUGCAGGAAAGCUGGAUAGGGCUCAGGCCCCUUGGGCCUCUGGAGCCUGUGGAAGGAGCCCACCCCAUGCCUGGUUGGAGAUGGCCAUGCAAAGGCUCCACAAUCCCAGGGUCAAGUGUUGGGGCACCGGCCAGACCUCUCACUCAGAAUUUCCUGCCAGAGCUCCAGCCCUGCGGGACAUAAAUAUACUUUACUUUUCUCCUUUCUUCUCCCAUUUCCUUCGUUUUGUUUGUGGAAUGGUAAUAGAACUUGCCCAGGCAUUGUUUCAUUUUGACAUUAUAACAAGGUCUGUUCUGAAUUCACUUUCUCCAUUAGAAGCCUAUGGAGUGUCCAUUGUUCCUAUGGACUUUUACUGAUGUAUAAUUGUGCUUAAAAUAACUCAUCCAAAGUCUGUCUGGAAAAAUAAUAAGUAAAUUGUUUUAAGUAAAAUUUGGCUGAUGAUUCCCAUUCUGAUUUCUCUGAUGGUUUAUGUGGAUGGAAGUUCAGGCAAAAGCCCUUCUGGUUUUGAGCUGUAAGAGCAAUAAUAACAAUAAUAGUCAAACACCCAAGCAUCUUGUGGUAUUGUUGCUCUAGGAUGAAAUUUGAAAUAAGAAGAUCUGAAUGAACCUCAUUUUCCUCACCUCUAAAAUGGGAAUAAUGAGACCUGCUCUACUUAGCUCCCUGGGUUGAAACUUGAUAAAGUAUAAAGCUUUAUACAAACAUUGGAUUUUUGUUCUAAUAAUGUUUUUUCUUAACAUCUUGUCCCUCUCUAAUUCAGCUCUUGCUAGAAUAUUUUUCGAUGGUAUGGGUCAGCCUAAAAUAAAGCACUGAAACAUAUGGGAAUUUGGGUAAAACCUUCAUGCCCUUGCAAUUACCUCCAUUACAGAGAUAAUUACUUGGACCAAGAUAUUAUAUUUGCUAAGGUUUGGGAAGGAGGAAGUAUGAUCCAAUAGCAAAGGUCCCAGCAACAAGUGAGAGGCACUUGGAAACUGUGGUGCAUUGUUCUGCUCUUCUGGAAGGCUAAAUGCUGCUGGGAUGAAGUCGGAGCCAUUCCAAGUGGGUGAUGAAAUUUACUUUAUUGACAUUAUCAAUAAGGAUGUAUUUAUGAGAAACAAACAUGAAGUAUAGCUCACACUUACGGGACUUGGCAGGCAAGCAAAGGGAAGUGGGGCAUUGGAUCAUGAGGCCUAAACCUUUGGGUUUAUUUGGCAUUGGUUUUGUGCUUGGUGAGCUAUGUGAUUCUUAUGUAGAUUAUCUUCCUUCAUGGAUCCUCUACUUUCUUAUGCAUAAAAUGGGCGUAAAACUCUCCAUCACAUAUUAUAAGAGCAAAGAAGAUUUGUGUUUUUCACUGGAGGUAAAAGUGCCAUGCAUAAUUUAUCAUUAUGAGGUAAUGAGUAUCACUUCUUUCAUGGGGGUUGAACUCCAGAAAGAUAAUUCAACAGAGUUAUAAAAUCACAGCGUGGCACACAGACUUCUGUUUAAUAGUUUGGCUUGUGUGAUAUGAAUGUCUUAACUUUGGGGUUUCUGGAUUUUUUUUUUCCUCUUUCAAGUAAGGGCAUAUAUAAUCUACCACCCUGUUGUUAGACCAGCAAAAGAACAUGCCCCUCUUCAGGACUGCACAUGAAAAGGGAGCUUGAUCACUCCACAGCACUCCCUCUUUGUGCUUCCUGGAAUCUUGUGAGAAGAAUGAAGUCUUUUGGUACAUUAAAUGUGAGUUCAUAAAAUAAUUAUGGCCAUGCCCUAAAUUCAUGUAUAUCAUUACAGGUUGAUGAAUCAUUGUUGGUUCCUGUAGAAUUUUUUUUUUUAACUGGGGGAAAAAAAGCUAAUAUAUUGAUUGUUAAAGCUGUCAGGUUGACAAAUCCAGAAAACAAAGAACUUUGCUUUUGGGAUUAGAUAGGAUUCAAAGCAUGUUUAAAGCAGAAGAAAGCUUUAAAAUCAUCAGUUUAUAGAAGAGAAAGAGAAAGCUGAUACAAAGAGCAAUCCUCAGAAAAAGCUGCUAUUGCCAAUGCCAUCUUAGAGGUAAAGAAACUGAAGUUUGAAGAAAACAAGCUACUUGCUUAAGGUUCAUAGCUUGUUGAUUUUCCUGAGCUGCUGUGAUGUCUUGGAAUCAGAAUACCACAGACAGGUGCCUUAAACAACAGAACUUUAUUUCUCACAGCUCUGGAGGAUGGUAAGUCUGAGAGCAAAAUGCCAGCUGAUUUGGUGUUUUUUGAGAGCCCUUUUCCUGGUUUAUAGAUGGAUGGCUUCUUGCUGUGUCCUCACAUGGUGGGGAGAGGUUUCUUAUAAGGACACUAAUCUCAUUCAUGAGGUUUCUAUCUUAGGACCUAAUUAUCUCCCAAAGGCCUCACCUCCAAAUAGCAUCACAUGGGGAUUAGACUUCAACAUUUAUGUAAGAAUUUUAGUGGGACAUAAACAUUCAGUACAAAACAACCAAUGAGAAGAAUUACUAAUUCUUUCACAUAAUCAAUUGAUUCAUUUACAUAAUCAGUUGAUUCAUUUACAUGAGCAAUAAACAUUUAUUUAGCACAUAUUAUGUGCCAAACGCUGUACAUGGCACUGGGAACAAAGGUAAACCAAUGAGAUAUGGUCCCAUCUUUAUGGUGUUUACAGAGCUACAGGGGAGAUAGAUGUGAAUCAACUGCCACACAAACACAUAACUAUAAAUUAGGAAAAGAAGUUUUAAAAGGAGAAUAUAGCAGUUGUGUGAGCAGGGAAUCUUGUCUAGUCUGAGGAGUCAGAGGGCUUCUCAGAGGAAUGACCAUGGAGCUGAGAUCUGAAGGGUUAGCAAGAGUUAAUUAGAGCAGUUAGAGGAAUGUGAGAGUGUUUCAGACUAGGGAGAUGCCAAGUUUAAAGACCUUCGGCUGAAGCUGGGGUUGAGAUGGGAGGCAGUGGAGAGAGAUGACAGGUAGACAGUGGUCAGAUUAUCCAGGGUCUUGGGAUAUUUGGUCUUUAUCACGAGAACAAUGGCUUCCAGAAGGAUCAUCAGUGGCCUGCUAGUUACCUAAUUUUACAGGCUUUCCCCUGUUUCCUUCCUCCCUAAAUGUCUGGGUCCCUGGGACUGUGGCCUUGGGUCCACAGUCCUCUAUUUUCCAGGGCCUCCAAGAACCUCAGAGCUCUGCCCUCCCUCCCACACCUUCUUAAUGUAAGGCUAUAGUAAACUCUUCAAAAGUAUGCGGUGUGGAAGUUCCCAUUGUGGCUCAGCAGGUUAUGAAAUUGGCUAGUAUCCAUGAGGAUGCGUGUUUGAUCC